CUGUGUACUGCUUCAACAGUGUUGGAACGGAACAG
rfam:Oryctolagus cuniculus unplaced genomic scaffold chrTn0010, whole genome shotgun sequence.